rnacentral:rRNA from 1 species
UACGUAGGUGGCAAGCGAUACUCGGAAUCACUAGGCGUAAAGCGCAGGUAGGCGGUUGGGUAAGUCUUUUGUGAAAGCUCCUGGCUUAACUGGGAGAGGUCAAGGGAAACUACCCGGCUAGAGCGUGGCAGAGGAAACUGGAAUUCCCGGUGUAGCGGUGAAAUGCGUAGAUAUCGGGAGGAAUACCUAUGGCGAAAGCAGGUUUCUGGGCCAUCACUGACGCUGAUCUGCGAAAGCUAGGGGAGCAAACAGG